rnacentral:rRNA from 1 species
UCAAGCAUGAAAGGGCGCAGGGCGGAUGCCUUGGCUCUGGGAAGCGAUGAAGGACGUGGCAAGCUGCGAUAAGCUUCGGGGAGGCGCAAACAGCCUUUGAUCCGGAGAUCUCCGAAUGGGGCAACCCGGCAGGGGUCAUACCCUGUCAUCCCGUACUGAAUACAUAGGUGCGUGGAAGCGAACGCGGGGAACUGAAACAUCUAAGUACCCGCAGGAAAAGAAAUCAACCG